rnacentral:rRNA from 1 species
GGUUAAGCGACUAAGCGUACACGGUGGAUGCCCUGGCAGUCAGAGGCGAUGAAGGACGUGCUAAUCUGCGAUAAGCGUCGGUAAGGUGAUAUGAACCGUUAUAACCGGCGAUUUCCGAAUGGGGAAACCCAGUGUGUUUCGACACACUAUCAUUAACUGAAUCCAUAGGUUAAUGAGGCGAACCGGGGGAACUGAAACAUCUAAGUACCCCGAGGAAAAGAAAUCAACCGAGAUUCCCCCAGUAGCGGCGAGCGAACGGGGAGCAGCCCAGAGCCUGAAUCAGUGUGUGUGUUAGUGGAAGCGUCUGGAAAGGCGCGCGAUACAGGGUGACAGCCCCGUACACAAAAAUGCACAUGCUGUGAGCUCGAUGAGUAGGGCGGGACACGUGGUAUCCUGUCUGAAUAUGGGGGGACCAUCCUCCAAGGCUAAAUACUCCUGACUGACCGAUAGUGAACCAGUACCGUGAGGGAAAGGCGAAAAGAACCCCGGCGAGGGGAGUGAAAAAGAACCUGAAACCGUGUACGUACAAGCAGUGGGAGCACGCUUAGGCGUGUGACUGCGUACCUUUUGUAUAAUGGGUCAGCGACUUAUAUUCUGUAGCAAGGUUAACCGAAUAGGGGAGCCGAAGGGAAACCGAGUCUUAACUGGGCGUUAAGUUGCAGGGUAUAGACCCGAAACCCGGUGAUCUAGCCAUGGGCAGGUUGAAGGUUGGGUAACGCUAACUGGAGGACCGAACCGACUAAUGUUGAAAAAUUAGCGGAUGACUUGUGGCUGGGGGUGAAAGGCCAAUCAAACCGGGAGAUAGCUGGUUCUCCCCGAAAGCUAUUUAGGUAGCGCCUCGUGAAUUCAUCUCCGGGGGUAGAGCACUGUUUCGGCAAGGGGGUCAUCCCGACUUACCAACCCGAUGCAAACUGCGAAUACCGGAGAAUGUUAUCACGGGAGACACACGGCGGGUGCUAACGUCCGUCGUGAAGAGGGAAACAACCCAGACCGCCAGCUAAGGUCCCAAAGUCAUGGUUAAGUGGGAAACGAUGUGGGAAGGCCCAGACAGCCAGGAUGUUGGCUUAGAAGCAGCCAUCAUUUAAAGAAAGCGUAAUAGCUCACUGGUCGAGUCGGCCUGCGCGGAAGAUGUAACGGGGCUAAACCAUGCACCGAAGCUGCGGCAGCGACGCUUAUGCGUUGUUGGGUAGGGGAGCGUUCUGUAAGCCUGCGAAGGUGUGCUGUGAGGCAUGCUGGAGGUAUCAGAAGUGCGAAUGCUGACAUAAGUAACGAUAAAGCGGGUGAAAAGCCCGCUCGCCGGAAGACCAAGGGUUCCUGUCCAACGUUAAUCGGGGCAGGGUGAGUCGACCCCUAAGGCGAGGCCGAAAGGCGUAGUCGAUGGGAAACAGGUUAAUAUUCCUGUACUUGGUGUUACUGCGAAGGGGGGACGGAGAAGGCUAUGUUGGCCGGGCGACGGUUGUCCCGGUUUAAGCGUGUAGGCUGGUUUUCCAGGCAAAUCCGGAAAAUCAAGGCUGAGGCGUGAUGACGAGGCACUACGGUGCUGAAGCAACAAAUGCCCUGCUUCCAGGAAAAGCCUCUAAGCAUCAGGUAACAUCAAAUCGUACCCCAAACCGACACAGGUGGUCAGGUAGAGAAUACCAAGGCGCUUGAGAGAACUCGGGUGAAGGAACUAGGCAAAAUGGUGCCGUAACUUCGGGAGAAGGCACGCUGAUAUGUAGGUGAAGUCCCUCGCGGAUGGAGCUGAAAUCAGUCGAAGAUACCAGCUGGCUGCAACUGUUUAUUAAAAACACAGCACUGUGCAAACACGAAAGUGGACGUAUACGGUGUGACGCCUGCCCGGUGCCGGAAGGUUAAUUGAUGGGGUUAGCCGCAAGGCGAAGCUCUUGAUCGAAGCCCCGGUAAACGGCGGCCGUAACUAUAACGGUCCUAAGGUAGCGAAAUUCCUUGUCGGGUAAGUUCCGACCUGCACGAAUGGCGUAAUGAUGGCCAGGCUGUCUCCACCCGAGACUCAGUGAAAUUGAACUCGCUGUGAAGAUGCAGUGUACCCGCGGCAAGACGGAAAGACCCCGUGAACCUUUACUAUAGCUUGACACUGAACAUUGAGCCUUGAUGUGUAGGAUAGGUGGGAGGCUUUGAAGUGUGGACGCCAGUCUGCAUGGAGCCGACCUUGAAAUACCACCCUUUAAUGUUUGAUGUUCUAACGUUGACCCGUAAUCCGGGUUGCGGACAGUGUCUGGUGGGUAGUUUGACUGGGGCGGUCUCCUCCUAAAGAGUAACGGAGGAGCACGAAGGUUGGCUAAUCCUGGUCGGACAUCAGGAGGUUAGUGCAAUGGCAUAAGCCAGCUUGACUGCGAGCGUGACGGCGCGAGCAGGUGCGAAAGCAGGUCAUAGUGAUCCGGUGGUUCUGAAUGGAAGGGCCAUCGCUCAACGGAUAAAAGGUACUCCGGGGAUAACAGGCUGAUACCGCCCAAGAGUUCAUAUCGACGGCGGUGUUUGGCACCUCGAUGUCGGCUCAUCACAUCCUGGGGCUGAAGUAGGUCCCAAGGGUAUGGCUGUUCGCCAUUUAAAGUGGUACGCGAGCUGGGUUUAGAACGUCGUGAGACAGUUCGGUCCCUAUCUGCCGUGGGCGCUGGAGAACUGAGGGGGGCUGCUCCUAGUACGAGAGGACCGGAGUGGACGCAUCACUGGUGUUCGGGUUGUCAUGCCAAUGGCACUGCCCGGUAGCUAAAUGCGGAAGAGAUAAGUGCUGAAAGCAUCUAAGCACGAAACUUGCCCCGAGAUGAGUUCUCCCUGACUCCUUGAGAGUCCUGAAGGAACGUUGAAGACGACGACGUUGAUAGGCCGGGUGUGUAAGCGCAGCGAUGCGUUGAGCUAACCGGUACUAAUGAACCGUGAGGCUUAACCUU